rnacentral:rRNA from 1 species
UUAAGUAACUAAGGGCAUGCGGUGAAUGCCUAGGCGCCGGGAGCCGAAGAAGGACGCGGUAAGCUGCGAAAAGCUACGUUGAGUCGCAAGCAGACCUUGACACGUAGAUAUCCGAAUAGGACAACCCUGCCGGAGUUAUGUCCGGCAACCUUAAAGCCAAUCCAUAACUUUAAGGAGGCAACCCGGGGAACUGAAACAUCUAAGUACCCGGAGGAAGAGAAAGAAAACUCGAUUCCCCUAGUAGCGGCGAGCGAAGCGGGAAGAGCCCAAACCGAGCAAUCGGGGUAAGGACACUCAAAAAGAUAUAGCGUUUUAGCAGAAUGACCUGGGAAAGUCAGCCAUAGAAGGUUAAAGCCCUGUACGCGAAAAGACAAAAUAUCCGGAGUGUAUCCGGAGUACCACGAGGCACGAGGAAUCUCGUGGGAAGGCGGGGGGCCCACCCCCCAAGGCUAAAUACUCCCCGGCGACCGAUAGUGAACCAGUACCGUGAGGGAAAGGUGAAAAGCACCUCGGAAGAGGAGUGAAAUAGAACCUGAAACCGCAUGCUUACAAUCAGUCACAGCUCCACAUGCGAGUAGUGGCGUACUUUUUGUAGAACGGACCGGCGAGUUGCGUUAAGAAGCCAGGUUAAGGAAACGGAGCCAUAGCGAAAGCAAGUCUUAAUAGGGCGCAAGUUUCUUGGCGCAGACCCGAAACCGGGUGAUCUACCCAUGAGCAGGUUGAAGCGUUGGUAAAACAACGUGGAGGACCGAACCAGGUGUCGUUGAAAAGACAUUGGAUGACUUGUGGGUAGGGGUGAAAUUCCAAUCGAACCCGGAGAUAGCUGGUUCUCCUCGAAAUAGCUUUAGGGCUAGCCUCAAGCAAAGACCUACGGAGGUAAAGCACUGACUGGAUGCGGGGGCUUCACCGCCUACCAAAUCUUAUCAAACUCAGAAUGCCGUAGGGGAGUUACUUGGGAGUCAGACUAUGGGGGAUAAGCUUCAUAGUCAAAAGGGAAAGAACCCAGACCGUCGUCUAAGGUCCCCAAGUUGGUGUUAAGUGGAAAAGGAUGUAGAAUCGCUCAGACAACCAGGAUGUUGGCUUAGAAGCAGCCAUCAUUAAGAGAGUGCGUAAUAGCUCACUGGUCCAGGGGUUCCGCGCCGAAAAUGUAACGGGGCUCAAACACCACACCGAAGACACGGAAUGCAUAGCAUUGGUAGAGGAGCGAUCCAUUGAGAACGAAGCGAGAGCGCAAGCGCUCGUGGACCCAAUGGAAGAGAGAAUGCCGGUAUAAGUACACGAUAAAAGAGGUGAGAAUCCUCUUCGCCGAAAGUCUAAGGAUUCCUGGGGAAGGCUCGUCCGCCCAGGGUAAGUCGGGACCUAAGGCAAGGCCGAAAGGCGUAGUCGAUGGGAAACAGGUAGAAAUUCCUGUACCUAUCUUAUUUAAUGACCACGCAGUGACGCAGAAGGGUACAGCGAGCGCCCAGUUGGUGAGGCGUUCAAGCGCGUAGGGCGAUGCGUAGGCAAAUCCGCGCAUCACGAGCCUGAGACGUGACGACGAGUGAAACAUAGUAACGAAGUCCUGAAUCCCCCGCUGCCAAGAAAAGCUGCUAAGGAAAAUAAGAUAGCCCGUACCGCAAACCGACACAGGUAGACAGGUAGAGAAUACUAAGGCGCGCGAGAUAACUCUUGUUAAGGAACUCGGCAAAAUGAACCCGUAACUUCGGGAAAAGGGUUGCUCCCCCGUGUGAGUAUGAACAAUACAGAGCAUAAGGGAGCCGCAGAGAAGAGGUCCAGGCGACUGUUUAGCAAAAACACAGGUCAUUGCCAAAUCGUAAGAUCACGUAUAAUGGCUGACGCCUGCCCGGUGCUGGAAGGUUAAGGGGAAGAGUGCAAGCUUUGAACCGAAGCCCCAGUAAACGGCGGCCGUAACUAUAACGGUCCUAAGGUAGCGAAAUUCCUUGUCGGGUAAGUUCCGACCCGCACGAAAGGCGUAACGA